UUAGGUGAAGCCAAAAUAGAGGCCUAUCACUGUUAAUGAUAAAAAUGAAUAAAAAUUUUAUAUUCCACCUAAG
rnacentral:tRNA from 1 species